CCUACGGGAGGCAGCAGUAGGGAAUCUUUCACAAUGGGCGAAAGCCUGAUGGAGCAACGCCGCGUGCAGGAAGAAGGCCUUCGGGUUGUAAACUGCUUUUAUUAGCGAGAAAUAUGAUGGUUACUUAUGAAUAAGGAUUGGCUAACUACGUGUCAGCAGCUGCGGUCAUACGUAGGAUCCGCGCAUUAUCCGGAGUGACUGUGUGUAAAGAGUUGCGUAGGUGGUAUAAUAAGUAGCUAGUGAAAUGUGAUGGCUCAACCAUUCAGACUAUUAGCUAAACUGUUAAGCUCGAGACCGUUAGGGGUGACUGGAAUUUCUAGUGUAGGAGUGAAAUCCGUAGAUAUUAGAAAGAACACCAAUAGCGUAGGCAGGUUACUGGGACGGUUCUGACACUAAGGCACGAAAGCGUAGGGAGCAAACGGGAUUAGAUACCCCGGUAGUC
rnacentral:rRNA from 1 species